rnacentral:lncRNA from 1 species
AAAAAUAACAAAAUUUUGGAUACAAGUUUAAUUUUUUAUAUUAAAUUCUUAGAAUGAUAUAUUGAAAUCAAGGUAAAAUACUAAUACAUUCUCAAAGAAUAUUGUUGUUAAUCCAUUCUAAUAAAAUAAAAGAAAAUACAUUCUUAAUGAAUAACAAAUCCAUUUUUUAAGAAUACAAUGUCAAUAGCAUUCUUUAAGAAUAACAUUCUUCUAGAAUAUACUAUCGUCCCUCUAUGUUUUCUUUCUUUUCCUCUUCAAAACCUAAACCCACAUGUCAUCUUAGCUUAGCAACUGCAUAAAGUUAGGAAAAAAUUAAUCGCCUCGAUCACCAUGUCUAAAAAUUAAUAUGGAAAAAGUGAAGUAUGGUUUAUCAUAGCUUAACAAGUAACGACUAUGUAUAUACAUUAAUUUGAAGCUGCAAGAAGUUCACAUAGUAGACCGCUUCUUCAAGCAUUGUGCUAAUGUCAACCUUGGUCCCAUUUAGAUAAGGGUAGAUUACUAAUAUUAUAUAUUCCUUAAAUAAUAUCAUUAAUUAUAAUCCCGUUUUUUAUGGAAGGACAAGAAGAUAGUGGUGGUCGAGAUUCCAUUUAUGUGAUGUGUUUUGUAAUUCAUUGCUUAUGUCGACUUGAAAUUCGAGAUUCUAUUAUGAUAGAAUUGGAAUUCGAGAUUCCAAUCUUCCAUUACGACAUAAUGUUGUAAGAUGUAUAUAUAACACGUUUUGUUUCGAUAAACAAACAUAGCGGGAACUUCCUCAGUCAAAUCCGACUUGAUGAUAGGAAUUCAAAUAGACUUCUAGCAACCUGGUAAGCAUUCCCAAUAAGGCGCCGAUGAUCAAAACUACAUAAAACAACAACUAAACGAAUCGUUUGCUUACUUUUUCGAACGGGAACAUAAGAAAAAAAAAAUACGAUUGAUUGGUUAAAAAAACUAACUAAAAGAAUAUGUAAAGCAACACAUAAAUUUUUUCUAUAAUCAAAUAUGAACACACUAUACAUUUUCAAUGGAUUAAGAAAAUAUGAUUUGUUACCCAGCAUGUGAAAAAGAUUUUAAAAAAAUGAAAUCAAACUAACAUUUUUAUAUGAUUUUGUGACAAAUAUAACCACCGCAAACUAUAUAUACAAAUAACAAAACAUGAAUAUCUGUAGUGUAGUUAUUAUGUAGACAAAUAAUGUUAAUCAUAUAAUAAUUCACAACUACUACUUUCUUCUGUAAAAGAGAUUAAUUCACAACGUCGUAAGAGAAAUCAAAGAGAUUUAUAGUGACCUUAAUGCUAGAAAUUUUAACAUGGCAUCAUCUGAUUAAACAAUUACACACAACACGAAUUAAAAGGUCAUCGAUUAUUACUAGUAUCCAUAAUUUAUUUGUAAUUCUAAAAAUAGUUUCAUAUCCUAUAAUUCCUAAAUCAACCAAACAACGAAAAAGAUGAAAUCAAAAUAAUUCCAAGACUUAUCCUUUCGUUGUACACCAUUCCUAUUUUGUUCCUGGUAUGAUUAAACUAAAAUAAAAAAAUAUAAAAAAAAUAAAAAUAAAAAAAAAAACAGAUAGGGAUUGAAACAAAAAAGAUGAAAUUAAGUACCUUUUUGAAGUGGAAACGAGGAAGACAAUGGUGGAUGCAUCGAGGUUUAAAGGAGGCUGCCGAUGGCCGGCGGGAAGGGGUUCUGCAACAACCAGUGAUGGAGAUUAUGUUUGCAUCGGUCGGAUGAAUGCUGGAGUCGGCUUUAGGGUUUAACAGAAUAUGCUGAAAAGAGAAAAACAGAUAGGGAUUGAAACAAAAAAGAUGAAAUUAAGUACCUUUUGAAGUGGAAACGAGGAAGAGAAUGGUGGAGGCAUCGAGGUUUAAAGAAGGAGGCUGUUGAUGGCCGGUGUGAAGGGAUUCUACAACCACCGGUGAUGGAGAUUAAACUUGCAACACUCGGAUGAAUGGUCACUGUUGGAGUCGGCUUUAGGGUUUAAUAGGUAAACAAAAACUCGUCCUAUAAAAUAAAGGGAAAUCAAUGAGUAAUUUUGGAUAUUAGUUAAUCUCUUCCUAAUAAAAGCCUUUGCCUUUUUAAGAUGUCACAUGUCCCUCUUAUAAACUCAUUCAAUCCACAUGUAAUUUUUUCACAUCUCCUCAUAAAUCUUUUCCCGCCCACUGCAUUAAUAACGGAAACCAAAUGCAUAGAAAACGUUUUAAUCAAAUCAAAAUCAUAGAAAAGGAUAAUUUGGGAGUCUCCUACUAAUUAGCAACUUUGUUACUAUAUUCUAAGCAAUCUUUUUUGAAUCUUUUUGAAUUUAUUUAUCUUUUGCCCGUUAUAUAUGCAUUAUAAUAGGAAUGAAAUAAUGUUUGCGAUUUUAUCAUUUAUCAUUUAUAUAAAUAUAAAUAUGUGAUCUAAAAAUCUUUCUAACAUUUGCGUCUUUCAAAGUUUGAUUCCUCUAUACGUCUUCUUCUAUGCAACUUUGGUAAUUCAUUUUCAUCUAUACUGCUUAUUAUGUUACGGUAAAUAUUGUAUAUUGUUCUUCUGUUACAGUUCUCAUUCUCCUCAUGUUAUGUGUAUAUGCAUCUGUAUACGACAUAUGUGUGUUGCUUUUUUCUAAAAAAAAAAUUAAUUGUAGUUACCCAUCAGCCAUGUUCUAUACGGAUGGACUUCAAACCAUUAAAUCUCUAUUAUACAUGUCAAUCAUAACAAAUAGUGAUAUUGAUGCAUCGGUAACAAAAAGUAUAUUGCUUUUGUUUCUAUAAACCAUAAGGCUACCUUACCUGUUGUAGCAUCAACAUAAUACUCCCAAAUGAUGUGCUACCUACUCUGAUUGAAAAUUAUAAUUAGCAGUAACAUAUUUUUAUACUUUUAUGUGUUUGAUGUGUAAGCGUGUGUAUCUGUGUUUUAUCUGUUUAUUGGUUUAUAUUGUGUGUGAUUGUGUAUGUGAGGGUCAAAAAUCUUAUUACUUAUUGUUAUUGUUACUUUUUUGAUCUUGUGUGAUGUUUAACUUUGUUUUUCUAUAGAAAACCGAGAAUUAAUUCUAUUUUAUAGCAACUUACUUCCAAAAUCAAAAUCAUUUACAGAACUGUAUUUUACAACAAUUUUUUUUAAAAAAAAAUUAACUCUAAUUUAUAUGUCCGUUCAUCGAUGUUAAUGUGUUAUUAUAUUUUUUUGUAAAAAUGUUGGUUUGGUAUGAUGGAAUGGAUCUUUUGAUUUAUGGUUUUUUCUUAUUAAGUCACUAUAGUAAAAAAAAAAAAAAAAACAUUAACACAAACAUAACAUGAUAACAUACAAUUUCAUUCCUUUUUAUGAUUCCAUUCCAUUAUACCAAACCAACCAUUGUACAAAUCAAAUCUUUUAAACAAAAAUAACAUAUGAAAAAUAGUGAUAAUUCUUACCUAUAUUUGAUUAUAUGUAAUUUAAUCAUAUCUGGAAUGAACUUC